GACGAACGCUGGCGGCGCGCUUAACACAUGCAAGUCGAACGGAAAGGCCUGCUUUCCCUUGUGGAUUGCGGGUACUCGAGUGGCGAACGGGUGAGUAACACGUGAGUGAUCUGCCCCCAACUUGGGUAUAAGCCUGGGAAACUGGGUCUAAUUCCCGAUAGGACUGCAGGGUGGUGCCUGUGGUGGAAAACGAUUUUCUAGUGGUUGGGGAUGAGCUCGCGGCCUAUCAGCUUGUUGGUGGGGUAAUGGCCUACCAAGGCGGCGACGGGUAGCCGGCCUGAGAGGGUGGACGGCCGCAUUGGGACUGGGAUACGGCCCAGACGCCUACGGGAGGCAGCAGUGGGGGAUAUUGCACAAUGGGCGGAAGCCUGAUGCAGCGACGCCGCGUGGGGGAUGACGGCCUUCGGGUGGUAAACUCCUUUCGACCGCGAGGAAGCCACCUGGUUGGAAGGGUGGUGACGGUAGUGGUAGAAGAAGCACCGGCUAACUACGUG
rnacentral:rRNA from 1 species